GGACCCGCACAAGCGGUGGAGCAUGUGGUUUAAUUCGAUGCAACGCGAAAAAACCUUACCUACUCUUGACAUACUUGGAAGCUCUUGUAAUGAGAGUGUGCCUUUUGGAGCCAAGAUACAGGUGCUGCAUGGCUGUCGUCAGCUCGUGUCGUGAGAUGUUCCGUUAAGUCGGAUAACGAGCGCAACCCUUACCCUUAUUUGCCAGCGAUUCGGUCGGGAACUAUAAGGGGACUGCCGGUGAUAAACCGGAGGAAGGUGAGGACGACGUCAAGUCAUCAUGGCCCUUACGAGUAGGGCUACACACGUGCUACAAUGGUACUUACAAUGGGACGCAAAGAGGCGACUCU
rnacentral:rRNA from 1 species